GGUGAAUCCAGUGGAGGUCGUCAAGUGGAUAAGGGUUAUCACAGUAUUAAGAAGAAGACGGAUGAUUAUGUAAACAUUGAAAACAUGUAAACAAUGAGGACUUCAAGACAAGAUUAAAAGACAGCAAUUUGGGACGACAUUGAGCAGACAGUUCCUCGGUGUCGGCAGCGUGGGAUGGCAAUUUCCAGGUUUUGCACGUUCGUGAAGGGUCA